AAUACAUAUACAUGAAUAAAUAUAUAAAUUUAUAUGAAUAUAUCUAUUGACUCUUUGUAGGUAUAUACAUACUAUAUGCACACACACAUGCACACACUCUAGAUAGAAACAAAAUAUCUUAGUAAAAUAGGUAAAAUUUCCUUGCCAUGAGUGACUUUCAUGAUUUCAGAAUUAACCAAGUAUUCUUAGAAUACAUCAACACUAUUGGCUUAUUGGCUUAUUAUUCCUCAAAGCCAAAAUGAGAAAGAUCUUUAAAAAAGAAAAAAGUGGGAUGUAAGUUUUAUUGCUUGCUCUGUGUUCCUAUUCACUGGUUGCCGAGAGAAGUAAAUUAAAGUGACAAAGAGUUGAAAUGGAAAUCAAAUUUUGCUAGUAUUUUCGUUCAAAGAAUUCUUCAAAAAGUUGAAAUUAGAAGAAAAAAUGAAGGUCAUCCUCAUUGGUGAUGAAAUAUUCCCUUGCUGUCAAGGAGGAUGUGGACACAAGAAAAACAACUUGGACUUAACCAGAAACUCAAAAUACACUGCAUUUUCAACUUAGUAAUUAGGCUGAUAUGGGAUGUCACAAACCGUGAUUGCUACAGUGGACUGGCUUUGAAAUGAAUUCUCUGGAUUAAAUGGUGCCGGCACAUUCUGCAGGCAUGGCUAAUCUGUGUGAAACGAUGGUGCUGGGGAAGUCACUCCUGCUUGCUCUGACUAAAGCCUGUUCCCAUGCACCUGUUGGAAGAGCAGGUUUUUUUUUUUUUCCAUAGAUCUGAUUUUAAAAAUAAGGUUAAAAGAUGACAGCUGUGAGAAAAUGAAGCCAUUCUCUAGAGAGUAGCUGCCUUAUGGGAUAAGGAAAACAGUUCUUGGAAGCAAGCCCUGCAGCACUUUAUUAGUCAGGUGUCAAAGGAGAGCUGUCUUCUCUGGAAGUUAGGCUGAAAAAUUUUCUUUUAACCCAAACCUUUGCAGCAUAACUUUUACUCUGUGAAAAGUCAAGAAAAUGAACCUCUGUGUCCAUAUAUUUAUUUCAUACCUUUUGACAAAUAUUGAUUAAGCAAUUACUUAGACACUAUAAUUGACAAUACUAAUAUGAACCUAAAAAACUAAAAAACUCUAUAUGUAAGGAAAUUUUAAUGAGCAUUAGCCAAAAAGUUUAAUUCAGCAUUUAACACUUCUGCACACAUGUGAACAAGCUGUUGUUACUGUCUGCCAAGGUCCUUUGGUGUUACUGCUCAGGGUUACAAAAUUUUUUUUCAUGAAUAACAUUUAAAAAUAAAAUAUAUUUUGCCAGAUUUAUACUUACAUAGGACAUGGAUACCAAGAAGCAAUUUAAUGAUAAGGAAAAUACUCUUCCUACAUUGAAGAGUUGACUUAAGAAGCGAAGUCAUCAAGGGAAUAUUCCCAGGAAUCCAGAAAGGAGAAACAAACAAACAAACAAAACAAGAAAAUGACCAUGGAAAGUAACAACAACUGAAAAAGGAUAAAAGAAAAUGUGUGAAAGAGGACAAGAAGGGCAAUACCAAAAGUAUACAAGGAGUGCUUAUGCGGUAACCACUUUAGAAUGCUUUUGCUGAUGUUUGAAGAUUUCAAAACUAGGGCAGAGACAGAUCUCAGUGACUAAGCAAAUAAAAGGAGAAGAAUGAGGCAUUUUCUUCUCUCAUGUACAGAUUAUAUGUAAUUACGAUGCUAAGGAUAAUUUUGUAGCAUAAAAAAGGGGAUGCUAAGGAGAAUAGUUUCUCCCUAACUUGUAGAAGGAGGGUAUACUAUAGUCUAUCAAAGAAUGAAACCUGUCCUCUCCUAAUAAAGUCUCAAACCAGGGUGACUGGCUUUCUUUUGAGUUAGAGUUACCAGUUUCAAAUAAAUGCUUGGUAAUACCAUGAAAUAUAAA